rnacentral:sRNA from 1 species
CUUGAAAAGCACUUGCUAUUGAUCUGUCACAUAGCUGGCCAAAGGUGACUUGAUUCAGAUGAAAAUAGUUAGUUAGUAGUUGAGGUUAUUCUUGUUUCAUUACUUCUGUUUCUCUCAGUCUUUCUUGAAUGUUCUGUUUUACUUGUAGAACUGACACAUGAGUUUCUACAGAUUUUGGAGAAAACUCCCAACAGGCUCAAACGCAUUUGGAAUUGGAGGGCAUGCGAGGCUGCCAAGAAAACAAAAGCAGAUGACCGAGGAACAGAUGAAAAGACUUCAGAGCAGACAAUCCUCAAUAUGAUUUCCCAGAGCUCUUCAGACACAACCAUUGCAGGUUUAAUGAGCAUGUCAACUUCUACCACAAGUGCAGUGCCUUCCCUGCCAGUCUCCGAAGAGUCAUCCAGCAACUUAACCAGUGUGGAGAUGUUGCCGGGCAAGCGUUGGCUGUCCUCCCAACCUUCUUUCAAACUAGAACCUACUCAGGGUCAUCGGACUAGUGAGAAUUUAGCACUUACAGGAGUUGAUCAUUCCUUACCACAGGAUGGUUCAAAUGCAUUUAUUUCCCAGAAGCAGAGUAGUAAGAGUGUGCCAUCAGCUAAAGUGUCACUGAAAGAAUACCGCGCGAAGCAUGCAGAAGAGUUGGCUGCCCAGAAGAGGCAACUGGAGAACAUGGAAGCAAAUGUGAAGUCACAGUAUGCAUAUGCUGCCCAGAAUCUCCUUUCUCAU